GGUGGUAAGUGUCCUUGUGGUGUAUGAGGGAACCAAGGAUGAGGGGCGUGGGUCCCUUCUGGGCCAGUGUGUCCUUGAGGGGUGUGUGAUGUGACCCUUUCGGGGCAGGGGUGUUCCCUCGGGCUUGCGUGUCCCGGUUGGGGGAGGGGAAGGAGUAGAGUCAGGCCUGUGGACCGAGAGCUUCUGAGCCUCACUCCCUGGGGAUGUCCUGAACAAGGGUUGUCCCGGAAAGGGGCGGGUGUGGACAGUAUGCAGGACCGUGCAUGGAGACAGACUGGGUGGGUGUGUUGGGUGACAUGGAAGAAAGGGUGGGUGUGUAAAACUGGAGGGGAAAGAGAUGGAAGGCUAGGACAGGUGUGUAUCCGUGGUGGGUCGUGUAGGGCCUGGAUAUGUGACAUUAAGGGACCAUGGAUGUGACGGGGUAGGGGUGUGUGAGUAUGUGUGUAAAAGAGAGCCGGAUGUGAGGUCCUCCAAGGGAAGGUGCUUACCAGCCCGGAGGGGGCUCUUGUCCUGUGACACACCAGUGAGAGGGGGUGUGUAACAUGCAGGGGGGUGUGUAGGGAGGCAGAAAGGAUGGACUCUGGGUGUGAACCGUGAGAACAUUCGUGGACCGGGAAAAGGGGUUCUGUGUGGGGGAUACCGCUGUGUAUAGGGUGGAGUGGGACCAGUAGAAGCUGGUGCUAGGAUGUGACAUGGAAAAGGGUGUAGGUGUGACUCUAGAGAGGCUGGGUGUGACACAUGGAGGUGUGCAAUAGUGACAUCAGAGGGGGGUGUGUAACUGGGGGGGAUGGGGGGAUGAAAAGGGAGAGCUGGGGCUUGUGGUUCAGUGAAACCCAUGGAGGGUGUGUUCCCAAGGAAAUCGGGGGGAAAAAUGGAGUUCCAAGCGACUGGGGACAUAUGCUUAAAACACCCUGGAGCUUGGAGUUGUGUGACACCCAAAACUGUGUAGAUGUGUAUAAGACAGAGAGCUCUGUGUAGAAUAACUGGGUGUGUCACGCUAGAGAUGUGGGGGAGAUGCAGGGUGUACAAGAGCAGAGGACAUGGGUGUGUGCACACGUGUAUGAGGCAGCUCAGUGUUAGACGCCUCGGAGAUGUGUCAGCUGCACAAAACGGGCCCUCUACGUGUGCCAUCCGGGAGAGGUGUGCACAGCAGAGAAACACAAGCCAAGCACAGGACUCCACUUACUAUCCUCGAUGUUAGGGAACAAGUAGGGCAUGGGAGAAGAGGGAUCCUCAGGGCGCUUCGGAUCUCUGAUAAGAAGACCCAAAAAUAUAAUAUACAGAUUGAUUCUCCCUCAUGAGUGCCCUGUUCAAAAUCCCCUCCUAAUCUUGUUCUUGUCUUCAACAAACAGUAUAAUAUCCUCCAGCCUGGCUUAGGUGCCCACUUCCCACCCAGGCAUAUGCACAGGCUCCCACUUCUUGCUCUCACCCCCUCACCUCAAGCCAGGUGGGACAGGAUCCCAAGUUCCUUUGGAUCCAUGGGAGGGUGCUCAGCAGAAAUUGAAGGAAAGGGAAGUUGGGGGAGGGGUGGAAGAGAAUUUCCUGCCUAUCUUCCUGCACCCACCCCCAACACACGUAUGAAAAUGUCCAAAGCCGACUUCCUUUCUUCCUUCCUGCCCUGCUGCAGUUGCCAGUCCCAGUAAGGCUCAGGGACCCAGAUUUGGCUAGGCGGCACAUUACAGCAAGCAGCUGCUAAAGAAGGCCCCUUCAAGUGCUGCCCUGUGGUGCCUACUGCCAUCAGGCAGGCUCCAAGAUCUGGGUGAAUUUCCCAACACAACCCUCAGAAGACAUUAUUUGAGGUGCGUUUUUACCGGUGAGGGAAACUGAGGCUCUGCAAGAUAAAACAUCUUGUCCAAGGUCGAAGGCUCCUAAGUGGCAGGUCCAGAAUUUAUUGAACCCUGGACUGGCUGGCCCACUGGGAUUUCAAUGCUUCCUUCUACAUUGCUGAAACUAAGGGACCAUGACUGCAGACCCUUCCUCACCUCCAAACCAAGUAUGAGGAAGCAGGCCAGGAGAUACAAAAGGGCAGUCCUCAAUUGAGAGGGAUAGUCUGGGGCAAGGCAAGCGGUAAUGACUUUGAUCUCGAAUUUUCUGGUUCCUUUCAAUGGGGGACGGUGGUGGCUGUGGGACACUUGAUCCACCCCUGCCCCUUUCCAAGCUUCUGUGUCCCCUACUUCCCAAUACAGACAUGACGAUAACUACAUUGAUAAUGUCAUAAUGGCUGGCAAUAUCAAUGCUUAAUGCCUGACAUACAAUUGCAUCUCCUUCUCCCAAUGUGCUAUGAUGUUU
rnacentral:lncRNA from 1 species